rnacentral:rRNA from 1 species
UACGUAUGGAGCAAGCGUUAUCCGGAUUUACUGGGUGUAAAGGGAGCGUAGGCGGCCUGUUAAGUCUGAUGUGAAAACCCGUGGCUCAACCGCGGGAUUGCAUUGGAAACUGAUGGGCUUGAGUGUCGGAGAGGUAAGCGGAAUUCCUAGUGUAGCGGUGAAAUGCAUAGAUAUUAGGAGGAACACCAGUGGCGAAGGCGGCUUACUGGACGACUACUGACGCUGAGACUCGAAAGCGUGGGGAG